CAAUAGCGUAUAUUAAAGUUGUUGCGGUUAAAAAGCUCGUAGUUGGAGUUCUGCCAGGUGCCGCCUGUCCGCCCCAGUGGUGAGUACGUGGCGCGCAUUUGGCCCUUUCAAGGGGAGCGUAUCUGCACUUUAUUGUGUGGUGCGGGAUCCUUGACUUUUACUUUGAGGAAAUAGGAGUGUUCCAAGCAGGCUCUCGUCGUGCACAGCUCAGCAUGGAAUAAUAGCAUUGGACCUCGAUUCUAAGCUGUUGGUUGCCAGAAGCGAGGUAAUGAUGAAGAGGGAUAGUUGGGGGCAUUCGUAUUCAGUUGUCAGAGGUGAAAUUCUUGGAUUUACGGAAGACGAACAACUGCGAAAGCAUUUGCCAAGGAUGUUUUCAUUAA
rnacentral:rRNA from 1 species